AUCGAAAGAUUAGCUAAUACCGCAUACGUCUUGAGAAGGAAAGCGGGGGACCAUUUGGCCUCGCGCUAUUCGAGCGGCCGAUGUCUGAUUAGCUGGUUGGUGGGGUAAAGGCCUACCAAGGCGACGAUCAGUAGCGGGUCUGAGAGGAUGAUCCGCCACACUGGGACUGAGACACGGCCCAGACUCCUACGGGAGGCAGCAGUGGGGAAUUUUGGACAAUGGGCGCAAGCCUGAUCCAGCCAUGCCGCGUGUCUGAAGAAGGCCUUCGGGUUGUAAAGGACUUUUGUCAGGGAAGAAAAGGCGAUUGUUAAUACCGAUUGCUGAUGACGGUACCUGAAGAAUAAGCACCGGCUAACUACGUGCCAGCAGCCGCGGUAAUACGUAGGGUGCGAGCGUUAAUCGGAAUUACUGGGCGUAAAGCGAGCGCAGACGGUUUGUUAAGCAGGAUGUGAAAUCCCCGGGCUCAACCUGGGAACUGCGUUCUGAACUGGCA
rnacentral:rRNA from 1 species